CUCCUCGUAGAUGAGCCCUUUUCCUCCUUUGCCCCUACCAGACAUGAUGAAAAGCAACUGUUGUUCUUUUCCAGUACCCGAGAACCAGCUGCAGCCCUUUAUAUAUCAGUUUUGCGGACCUUUUAGGAAACUGAAACAGCGAGGGCGGGAACUAGACUUCUGCCCCUGCCUCUUCCCUAUCUUACUGGGUGUUUGCUAUUGCCAAGAAGGGAAGGGGGCGUGGAAAUGCUAUUGGGUGUCUGACCCUCCUAUUUCCUGGUUGGGGUCCAGAGUCGCUGGUUUUGUGGUCUGUAGACAGGUCUCUGUGGGUUUUCUCAAUUAAUAUUGUACAAGUUUCCUCACCAUUUUUAUUAUUUAAUAAAAGGAGGCUGUUUUGCCACAUCUGUCUAUAAAAAGGGACAGAAAGCAGAAUAAAACUAAUUGUAAAUGUGAAGAUACUUUAAAAAGUGUAUUUCUUAAAUUCCUAGCAAUACUUUUCAAAUUUGGCUGAUCGUCAAUGUUUUCGUUUGGCAAAGCUUUAGAUAUACAUCGUUUCAACAUUUCUGAUAAAGCGGGAACUUCAGGAAGGGGAGAUAAAGUUAACUGAAUUUCCACUCUAUGCUGGAAAAUCACUAUUUACAUUGUGAACAUGAAGAAUCGCAGACUUGAAAACCUAAUUCUGUUCUAAUAAGUAGCAUUGUUGGGGUUAGAACUGAUGCUCUCUGAUUCUGGGGUGUAAUGUCCUUGCCACCUACGUCAGUGGAGUAUUGAAGAUACAGCAUGAUGAAUUGUGGUGGGUUAGUGACUAAGUCAUGUCCAACUCUUUCGAACCCAUGGAUUGUAACCCUCCAGGCUCCUCUCCAUGGGAUUUCCCUGGCAAGAAUAAUGCAGUGGGUUGCCACUGAAUAGGAAUUUGCAAAUUAACCGCAUUUUAAAAAUUAUUGACUGAAAUGCUGUUCAUGUUAAAAGGAUAACUGAUGUUCUACACACCGAAGAUAGGCAUUGAUAAGUUUACUAGGCUGAUGCCAAUAUUUACUCACAUUCCACAUAUUCACAUUGAAUGCCUUCUAUGUAACUACAGAGGUCAUUAAGAAAAAACUCCCUUCUUUGCUGGUGUUUACCGCAUAGGCAGUUAGAGGAUUAUUAUUUCCUGAGUCACAAAGUUUUGAGUUUUAUUUCAGGUGUGCUUACCUGUAGAUUUAGACAAUUUGUUCUCCCAUGCUCUCCUUUUUGAGAGAGGCACUAACAAGAAUCAUUGAUUCAUCCUUUCAACAAUUCAGGGUUUAUUAUAUUCCAAGUACCCGUGUACAAACAGUGCAGUAGUCGCAGGAGACACAGAUUUGAUCCUGAGUCAGGAAGAUCUGCUAGAGUAGGAAAUGGCAACCCAAUGGCAGAAUUCUUGCCUUGGGAAAUCCCAAGGACAUAGGACACUGGCGGGCUGCAGUACAAGAUAUCGCAAAGAGUCAGACAUGAACAGUUGAGUAGGCAGGCUCAGGAGCUUAGACUUUGAGAAUUUCAGGACUAACCCCAAGUCUACUGAAAUGAUACAGCAUUUUAAACAGUAUCUCCAAGUGGGUAGUUUGCUCUAACCACUUGGCUGGUUUGAGAGAGUUGUUUUAGAGCUGUGGUGUCCUACAUUAGCCACUAGCCACCUGUGUUCAUUUAAAUUUAAAUUAGUGAAAAUGAAAUCAAAUUAAAGAAAUAAUUUCUUCAGUCAGUAACUACUAUUUAAUAGAUGCUCAAUAACCACAGGUAAACAUAGUGGUUGUGCAGAUACAAACACUUCUAUCAUUGUAGUAGGUUGUUUUAGGCUGUAUUUUGAUAGAAAAUUUCUUAUGGAGAACUUCUAGCCCAGCCUGAGAAAUGGAAUGUGGUAAAUAUAUGAGACUGAGACUUGCUGCUGGAACUGAGGAUUGGCGUAUUUUUGAAGUAUAAUAGAAAUUAGUUAACUUCUAGAUGUACCAGAUAUUACAGAUAGAAGGAAACUGGAAAGUUGAGUAUAGUAAAGUUGUUUUAGGAAAUUAAAUUAAUAAUAUAUAGUUAUGCUUGGAGGGGAGUUUCAAGCAGGAGCUUGGAGGGGAGUUUCAACCAGGAGUUUCACCUGGUCCUCAGGUGAGACCAUCUGACAGAAAAAAUGGAUGUGAUUUCUCAUUACCUUUCUGAGCACAUGAUUAUAACACAAUGUUCCACUUGUUAUAUAGCUCUUCUUUUUAAUUUGGCCUUUUUUAUAUUUAGUGAACAUAGUCACUUUUUUCCUUACAUUUUUGAAAGUUAAUGAAUUUUAGCAUGCUUAUAUACAGUGCCCGUGGCUUGCCCUGGUGCAUACUACCUAUAUCUUUUACAGUCACUGGCUAUGGUAGAGUAGGGUGUUGACACCAACAUUAAGAGGACAUGAAGUUGCGAGAUGCCCAUCACUUGUCUCACUUUAGUUUUUCUUAUUUAUUUUUUAAAUCUAUAAGGUAAAAAUAGUUGAAUUCUUAGUCUAGCAGAAAAAUACACUGUUUUAGGAUCUAUGUAGAUUUAGGAUUCAAAAGUAUUAAACACAAGUUUUUUUUUGUGGGCUAUAAGUAAUAGGAGAAACUUUCCAAAUUUACAGUCCCAUGGGGAUGAUCCUGCUUUCAAGAACCAUGUCCACACUACAGUUAGAGUGUAAGUACUUGGGUCUCAAGCAAUAACUGUAUCUACAUGCAGCAUAGCUCCAUCAUUCUAUAAAUAUCUGGGGAAGAAAUUUUCAGGUGGAAGCAUGUCUCAAUUAUCGUCCUCUCGGAAAGGCAGAGACCUAUAAACAAUGAAGCGAAUGGCCCUGAGCCCAGUGUCUUCUCCCUUAUUUGGUACCUAAAAAGCCAUGGUACCAACAGUAGUUGCAUAAGAAAGAAAUUGUGACAUCUGCUGUAGGAAGUACUUUUCACCUAUCUUAAACUGAGUACAUAUAACUUAGGGAACAAGUUGAACAUGUAUUCAACAACUGAUAUUAUGACUACAAUGAUUACCAAAAUAGUAAAGUAUUAAACAUCUGGAUUUUACCUGUAUCUUGAGGACUGAUAGUAUUAGGCUCUGGCCCAAAAAGGAAAAGAGCCUUUAUAAUGUGCUUGAAAAGGAAAGGGGCCUAUAUUACUGUUACUGUUGCUAUUGACAGUGAUAUCAUUGAGGAUGACAAGUAGCCCUUUUUUCCAGACUCAUAAAAUACCUGUCCUGGGAAAAUUGGAAUGUUCCGUAGCCAAAAUUUUAACCUUCCCUCUUUAUACACUGUAUUUGUAUUUGGUAUAUAACAUGGUCUCAAGUCCCAGAGAUUUACUUUUAGACAGUACGAGUCCAAAAUAACUAUUGAAAAACAAACCAAGUGAUGUCUAUGUAAUUUGUUAAGUAUGGAGAGAUGACAUCUUUAAAACUGAUUAUCCUGUCUUGGAGUUAUAUGAGAAAAUUCUCAAGUUACUAUUGAACGUAGGCCAGAAGAAUUAGAUUUUUGAAAGUAGGGAUAUCUACUAGAAAAAAAAUCACAACACCAAAAUAUCUUUCCUGUUUAUUUACUUUGACAAACAUAAGACUUAGUUUCAGUAUUUGAUUAUUUAAUAGGUACUAG
rnacentral:lncRNA from 1 species